rnacentral:rRNA from 1 species
AUGUCGACUGCAGGGAUAAUUAAAGUCUCCGCUGCGUGCCCCGUCUUCGAUGGAACUGAAUAUCCCUACUGGAAGAAUAAGAUGCGCAUGCAUCUUGAAGCCAUUGACGUCGACCUAUGGUAUGUCGUCAAGAACAGCGUUCCCAAGGCUGGAGAAGGUGUCACUGCUGCUGAUGUCAAGAAGUUCGUUCAACUGGACUCUACUGCCAAGAAUAUCAUCUGUGGUCAUCUGACCAAAGGACAGUAUGGCCGUGUGAGUGCCUUGGAAACAUCUAAGCUGGUCUGGGACUGGCUCUCCAAGGUCAAUGAAGGCGUCUCAACCCAGAGAGAUCAGAGAAUCAGUGUCCUUCGCAACCUCUUCAACCGCUUCAAGCGAAAUGACAAUGAGAAUGUCCAACUCACAUUUGACCGACUCACUGACAUCACAAAUGAGCUUCAA